rnacentral:piRNA from 1 species
UGGGAAUUCUCCUCUUUGAGUUAGGAUCCU